AUUAAACGCUGGCGGCAUGCCUUACACAUGCAAGUCGAACGGCAGCACGGGGGGAACCCUGGUGGCGAGUGGCGAACGGGUGUGUAAAGCAUCGGAACGUGCCCUGGAGUGGGGGAUAACGUAGCGAAAGUUACGCUAAUACCGCAUAUUCUGUGAGCAGGAAAGCAGGGGAUCGCAAGACCUUGCGCUCUGGGAGCGGCCGAUGUCGGAUUAGCUAGUUGGUGGGGUAAAGGCCUACCAAGGCGACGAUCCGUAGCGGGUCUGAGAGGAUGAUCCGCCACACUGGGACUGAGACACGGCCCAGACUCCUACGGGAGGCAGCAGUGGGGAAUUUUGGACAAUGGGCGAAAGCCUGAUCCAGCCAUGCCGCGUGAGUGAAGAAGGCCU
rnacentral:rRNA from 1 species